rnacentral:ncRNA from 1 species
AAACUUGAGAGUUUGAUCCUGGCUCAGAACGAACGCUGGCGGCAUGCCUAACACAUGCAAGUCGAACGAGACCUUCGGGUCUAGUGGCGCACGGGUGCGUAACGCGUGGGAACCUGCCCUUAGGUUCGGAAUAACAGUUAGAAAUGACUGCUAAUACCGGAUAAUGUCUUCGGACCAAAGAUUUAUCGCCUUUGGAUGGGCCCGCGUUGGAUUAGAUAGUUGGUGGGGUAAUGGCCUACCAAGUCGACGAUCCAUAGCUGGUCUGAGAGGAUGAUCAGCC